CCUACGGGAGGCAGCAGUGGGGAAUAUUGGACAAUGGGCGAAAGCCUGAUCCAGCCAUGCCGCGUGAGUGAAGAAGGCCCUAGGGUUGUAAAGCUCUUUCACCGGUGAAGAUAAUGACUGUAGCCGGAGAAGAAGCCCCGGCUAACUUCGUGCCAGCAGCCGCGGUAAUACGAAGGGGGCUAGCGUUGUUCGGAAUUACUGGGCGUAAAGCGCGCGUAGGCGGAUACUUAAGUCAGGGGUGAAAUCCCGAGGCUCAACCUCGGAACUGCCUUUGAUACUGGGUAUCUUGAGUUCGAGAGAGGUAAGUGGAAUUCCGAGUGUAGAGGUGAAAUUCGUAGAUAUUCGGAGGAACACCAGAGGCGAAGGCGGCUUACUGGCUCGAUACUGACGCUGAGGCGCGAAAGCGUGGGGAGCAAACAGGAUUAGAUACCCUGGUAGUCCACGCCGUAAACGAUGGAUGCUAGCCGUUGGAUAGUAUACUAUUCAGUGGCGCAGCUAACGCAUUAAGCAUCCCGCCUGGGGAGUACGGUCGCAAGAUUAAAACUCAAAGGAAUUGACGG
rnacentral:rRNA from 1 species